GCGGGACGAGAUUGGCAACCAGUACCCAUCAUGACCCUGCCCAAGCAUAACGACAAGUACACGAUUAAUUGCCCCAACAUGAUUAAAACGAUGCUAACGAAACUGCAGUCCUCGGGCAGCAAUGGGGAAAACAGUCCUGUCAACCUGGUGGCGAAAUUGACAGGUCUUUCACCAAAUGAACCCAGAAAGCUUUUAGACGCCGUGGAUGCUUUUGUGGUUCAACAUGAAAAUAAUCUCCCGCUACCAGAUGCGCUUGAGAGCCAUUUAAAAAAACUUACAGCAUUAAACAACCAGCUGUACCUUAUGCUUGGAGCCGCCCUCUCGCCAAUAAUGGGUGGUGAGAUCUUGAGAGACAUCUCUCUUAAGAUACAGUCCUUCCUCAAACCAGGUUCGACAAAAAAAUCCCCCGCAAUGGAAGGAUCGUUCGUUGGAUAUCCCAAAAAGCGACACCAGACAAAAGAAACUCUACUUGUAUUCUUAUCACGAUCUGAAUGUAAUCGCUGUCAUGAUCAGCCUGAACAAUAGCUCUUUAACGGAACGACCUCCUUACGGAUCUGCAGUUCUCUUUGAGGUUAAAAAGCUAAGCGGUGAAAAUGAACGUCAAAUUGAAGUAUCCUACAGAAAAGGGACCGAUAAUCCAGUUUCUGUUACUAUGAGCGGUUGCCCAGUUCCGUGUACACUCACCAAAUUUAACGCGUACAUAGAGAAAACUUUUCAACCUGUAACUGCUGAGCAGUGUGGGGUACCUAAUGAGCAGUUUGUAGUACUCUGAUAUUUGGUGUCUGCCAUUUACACAGGAGCACAUGUAAGUACUGUAUGACAUAUGCGCUA